AGUGAACGCUGGCGGUAGGCCUAACACAUGCAAGUCGAACGGCAGCACAGUAAGAGCUUGCUCUUACGGGUGGCGAGUGGCGGACGGGUGAGGAAUACAUCGGAAUCUACUUUUUCGUGGGGGAUAACGUAGGGAAACUUACGCUAAUACCGCAUACGACCUACGGGUGAAAGCAGGGGAUCUUCGGACCUUGCGCGAUUGAAUGAGCCGAUGUCGGAUUAGCUAGUUGGCGGGGUAAAGGCCCACCAAGGCGACGAUCCGUAGCUGGUCUGAGAGGAUGAUCAGCCACACUGGACCUGAGACACGGUCCAGACUCCUACGGGAGGCAGCAGUGGGGAAUAUUGGACAAUGGGCGCAAGCCUGAUCCAGCCAUACCGCGUGGGUGAAGAAGGCCUUCGGGUUGUAAAGCCCUUUUGUUGGGAAAGAAAAGCAGCAGGUUAAUACCCCGCUGUUCUGACGGUACCCAAAGAAUAAGCACCGGCUAACUUCGU
rnacentral:rRNA from 1 species